AAUACCCUAGGAUUUCUGCCUAGGAUUCGGGAAGUGAGAAAGUGAGCUACGAGUGUCGUGAGCCCACCAAAUUUUAGGAAGAGCUUCAUCAACCUCUCAAAUAUCUCUGCUGAUGACCCGAAGCAUCCAAAGAGUCGACAGACAUCGAUCGAAGGAGUUCGAUCAGCAUCAGCCAUCAAAAGGGUUCUAUGAUGAACUAG
rnacentral:lncRNA from 1 species